AACCUUCGCAAUGCGGGAAACCGCGACGAGGUCAGCCGGAGUGCCGAUGCUCGCAUCGGCUGUCGGGGAGUCUAAAAAGCUCCCCAUAGCAAGGGCCGGGCAAGGCCGGUGGCAGCCGCCGCGGUAAUACCGGCGGCCCGAGUGGCGGUCACUAUUAUUGGGCUUAAAGCGUCCGUAGCCGGAUUGGUUAGUUUCCCGGGAAAUCUGGCCGCUUAACGGUCAGAAUUCCGGGAGAUACUGCCAGCCUAGGGACCGGGAGAGGCCGAGGGUAUUCCCGGAGUAGGGGUGAAAUCCUAUAAUCCCGGGAGGACCACUUGUGGCGAAGGCGCUCGGCUGGAACGGGUCCGACGGUGAGGGACGAAGGCCAGGGGAGCAAACCGGAUUAGAUACCCGGGUAGUCCUGGCUGUAAACGAUGCGGACUAGGUGUCGGACAAGCUAUGAGCUUGUCCGGUGCCGGAGGGAAACCGUUAAGUCCGCCGCCUGGGGAGUACGCCCGCAAGCAUUCCGUGA
rnacentral:rRNA from 1 species